GACGAACGCUGGCGGCGUGCUUAACACAUGCAAGUCGAACGGAAAGGCCCUGCUUUUGUGGGGUGCUCGAGUGGCGAACGGGUGAGUAACACGUGAGUAAACUGCCCUUGACUUUGGGAUAACUUCAGGAAACUGGGGCUAAUACCGGAUAGGAGCUACUGCUGCAUGGUGGGGGUUGGAAAGUUUCGGCGGUUGGGGAUGGACUCGCGGCUUAUCAGCUUGUUGGUGGGGUAGUGGCUUACCAAGGCUUUGACGGGUAGCCGGCCUGAGAGGGUGACCGGCCACCUUGGUACUGCGGUACGGCCCAGUAGCCUACGGUCGGCAGUAGUGGGGAAUAUUGCACAACGGGCGGACGCCUGAUGCAGCAACGCCGCGUGCGUGAUGACGUCCUUCGGGUUGUAAACCGCUUUCGCCCGUGCUGAACCGUGAUUGACGGUAAUGGGUAAAGAAGCACCGGCUAACUACGUG
rnacentral:rRNA from 1 species